rnacentral:rRNA from 1 species
AGUGAACGCUGGCGGUAGGCCUAACACAUGCAAGUCGAACGGCAGCACAGUAAGAGCUUGCUCUUACGGGUGGCGAGUGGCGGACGGGUGAGGAAUACAUCGGAAUCUACUUUUUCGUGGGGGAUAACGUAGGGAAACUUACGCUAAUACCGCAUACGACCUACGGGUGAAAGCAGGGGAUCUUCGGACCUUGCGCGAUUGAAUGAGCCGAUGUCGGAUUAGCUAGUUGGCGGGGUAAAGGCCCACCAAGGCGACGAUCCGUAGCUGGUCUGAGAGGAUGAUCAGCCACACUGGAACUGAGACACGGUCCAGACUCCUACGGGAGGCAGCAGUGGGGAAUAUUGGACAAUGGGCGCAAGCCUGAUCCAGCCAUACCGCGUGAGUGAAGAAGGCCUUCGGGUUGUAAAGCCCUGUUGUUGGGAAAGAAAAGCAGCAGGUGAAUACCCCGCUGUUCUGACGGUACCCAAAGAAUAAGCAACGGCUAACUUCGUG